CCUGAGGCGGGGCCCAGGCGAUGAAGGGAAGACGGGUGGAGGCUAUGGGGCAUAUGCGUGUGUGCGUGUGCGUGUGUUUCCCCCACACAACCACCGUGGCUCCUUGCUAGACCCGGGCUUUCUCUUCCACGUCAUUUUUAGGGACUGAGGCCAGUUUUGCAUGAGAAAUCAGUGGCCUCCAGGGAAUGCCUCCAGGUGGCAGGAGGGGGCAACACAAGCUGCCAGGUCACUGUGCUUGGGAGUGAGGAGAGAAUCUCAAACCCUAGCCCCAGAUCCUACAGGACGCACGGUGGGCAGCAGAGACAGAGGAAAUGUCGCUAAUAGGGUGUUACCUGCAAGAUGGCACCCAUCCCGACCGGGAUACGUCGACGACCCCUUGAUGGUCUCUACCUGCAAAUUACCUUUGAGGGGCCACGAACUCAGCUGACCUGACGGCCCUUCUGGCGGGAAAGAGAAUCCCCUGUCCCGCAUCUCUCACCUUCAUCUAUUUCUAGAUUUUUGUUCUCAUGAAAAUGCUUUGGACAUCAGGAAACAUCAAGGUCUUAAAGUACAGGGGCUGGGCUGGGGCCGGAGCUGCAAGUGGGAGAUUCUGGGUUUCCCUGUUACUUUCACCGUCUAACGUCUUUCAGAGUCUGGGACCCAGACUGGGGCAAUCCUUUGGUGCCAGUUAGUGACCACUUGCGUCGGUCUGCUAGGGUCACCACAACAAGAUGUCACAGAAUGGGCGGCUUUCACAACAGAACUGUAUUUUCUCAUAAUCUUGGACACUAAAAGCGCGAGAUCAAGGUGUCGGCAGGUCUAGUUUCUUCUGAGGCCUCUCUCCUGGCUCGUAGAUGUCUUCCUUCUCUCCGUGUCCUCCCAUGGCCUUUUCUCUGGGCGUGCGUCCCUGGGGUCUCUCCUUCUUUUAUAAGGACACCAGUCAUAUUGGAUUAGGGCCCAUCCCAAUUACGUGGUGUGAUUUUAAUGAUCUCUUUUCCAGAUACAGUCUUAUUCUGAGGUAUUGGGGGUUAAGACUUCCACACGUGGAUUUUGAAGAGACGAACCCAGUCUACAACAAUACGUCAUGGGCAGUGGUGGUGGCUGGUGGGGGUGGUGGCGGUGAAUGCCCAGGCCUAUUUACGUCUCUGGAGAACGUCCGGCGUCUUUGAGGGGGUGGUCUGUUGUCUUGCCCCAAGCAGAGCCAGGACCUGCAAGGAGGAGGGGGAGAAGAAGGGGAUGCAGGAAGGUUGUGCCAGUGUUUUCUGCUUGGCGGCUCCCAGUGCAAGAGCUGGGAGCUCCUGGAGGUGGGACAGGAGUCUCAUGGGAGGUAUGAGGACCUGGUGGUUUCCAGACACCAGCCACGUCCAUCGUGCUUGGGCAGUGCGCUUCCUGAUGGCCCAGGCAAGUUUACGUCGUCCUUCAAGGCAGACCCUACACCAGGGAGCUCUCUGUCUCUGGAGCCACUCUGUCAGCACAGACGUUCUUGUGCUUCUUCCCUGCAAAGAGAUUAGGAAGGUUAUCCCUCCAGUGUUUGGAAUCUUAGCAUCUUUGGCUUGGCCCGAAGCCACCCAGACGGCCUGCAGUGGACAUCCCCACAAAGCCCAGGUCCGUGGCGUGUUUCUGUCAGUGGCGGGGCAUCGUGGGGUCGGGGCAGGGGCUGAGCUGGAGGGAUGGCCGCAUCUCGGAGUUUCCCCUGUUGUCUCCUCUUCGAGAAGGAGACCUUAUCAGCCCCUAACCAGAGAUAGCGUUUCCUCCGGGAGAAUUUCCCAGGGAGUGGAGGCAAGAAGGGGUUGGGAUUCGUCUAGACGUCUACUCUGCCAACCCUUAUCCAGACCAGCGCUGUUCCGGGAACCACUGCUAGGUGCCCACCGGAAACUCCUAGCAACCCUUCAAGACCCAGCUCGGACACGUUGCUUACUGUUCCGAUUAUGAAGCUUUCCCGGAUACCGCAGGCUCCGAAGACCCCAAGAACUCUGCCCUCGUCAUAGCACUUACGACAUACUCGUCAGACAGAUGCUGGGCAUGUAUUAAAUCAGUCACAGAGAGAGAGAGAGAGAGAGAGAGAGAGAGACAUGGGCAGAGGGAGAAGCAGGC